ensembl:lncRNA
GUACCUCAGUCCGGUAACACCACGACAGUCGGUCACCACGACGAAGAACCUGAUAACUACGCCUACGUGUAAGAAAAAAUCCUUUACCUACACGGCGUAUUGAAAAAAUGUAUUAAGAUCCAACUACAUAUUAUACACUGCACCAAAACGCCAUCCAUCAAAACCAUGUUCAAUUUAAAAACGAGUCUUGUUCCAUAAUGUUCCUUCUGCUGUGAUGCUACUACUGUUGUCUGGAAUAUAUUACAGUAUGUAACAUGGUUUUGUUUUGUUUAGCUUCCCCUUUGCUAACAUUGCGAGGUAGUGGGUGUAAAUUGACUCUGACAGAUGUGACGGAUGGAUGGAUGAAGACCUGCCCCGGCUGUCAAAGAGGUUCAAGGUAUAAAGGGGAGAUGUGAAGGGGAAAGGGGUUGGUUUGGUGGAACAGAGCAGAUCUCUCUGGGGAGUGAGAAGGAUGAGGAUGUCUGAUAAGGUGUAGAGGAGGCCUGGAGGAAGAGGUAAUAAAGGGAGAGGAGAGAGAAGGACGGUGCUGUAGAGUGACAGGAGGAAAAGGACAGGCUACCAUAGGCGCUGUGCUAAAGGUCAGCAGCCUCCCCUGUGAGGUUGAGUGGUAUUUGAACCUCACUUCUAUGGUUACAAUGUCUAUUUGGUGUCGCGGUGUGCUUAUUUGUGUGUGUGUGUGUGUGUGUGUGAGGGAGGGGGGUUGUGUGUGUAUUGUGCGUAGGUGGAUUGAGUACGUCUGUGCGAGUGUGUGUGUGUGUGUGUUUCUCUGGCAGGGGGCACAAACCAGAGCUGAGUUUAAUUGUCUGUAACAAAGACCCGACUCCUUUAGGAUCCAUUGAUGUGCCGAGCAUCAUUUUGGAGACCACAAUACAACACAGAGACACACACACACACACACACACACACACACACACACACACAUGCACAGUAAAGCACAAAGGGCUUGUUUCCAGGGCUGUGUUCAUCAUUACCACUGUGGGGGUAUAGUAUCUCAGCCAGCAGACAGACCAGGGGGGGAAAUAAGAUAGUUUGAGAUGCCAAAGUCAAUCUGUUAAUCUUUAACUCUCCAUUCCAUUCAUUAUCUUUUAUGUAGUCAAUAAUAAUGUGGGUUUUUUUCAAAAGUUAAAGAUCCCAUAUCAACGCUUUCUGACAGUACCAUUCCUUAGACAUUACUAUUACUAUUAUCAUAGAUCAGGUAAAUUAAAAAUGCCAACAUUUCCAACAUUCAACGAUACGAUGAACCGCUGUGAAUUGAAUUGACAUAAAAUCCUAACUCAAUUCACUUUAUCAAGUAGAUGCGUUUAAAUAUGUAUUUCUAACUCAUUACUAGACAUACAUACAGGAAAGAUUAUAGCUGCCAUUAGCUAUUUUACUGUGAUGACUAUUUCAUAAGAACGAUAGCUCACUUUUGUGACAUGAUGUGAACCACACAUCACAGCUGUGGGGUUUGUUACCUUGAGGACCUUUGGAAUAAGUCUAAUCACAACAUACUCCUGAGCUCUUACCCAAAUAUCCUCAAACCUCAACUGUUACCUUAGAGUAGACAUAAUACACGAAUUACCUCUGGAAUAUCUCGACAACUCUCUUUCCAAUAGGUUGAGUCUGUAAUAAUGACAAUAAUAAACAAAUAAACACUUUUGAAAGGCCAAAAGAUUUCUUUUUCACUAUUGUGCAUCAAGCUUUUGAAUAAAUAUACGUAUGUGGGAUUAAAAUGUCCAUUUUUUCUCUCUUGCCUAUUUAUGGUCAUAUUUACAUAUCUGUAAUCAUAUUUACACGUCCUGAAAAAUAUGUAAUCCACAGGAUACUGAUCGCUCUACAUGCAUUACUACAUGUAAUAUCUUAUAUAUAAAAGUAUAUAAAAUAUUAGUAUUUGUAGUUUAUCUCUAACCAAGGCCCUAUCUAUUUAUUCAAAAGCGUAAUCUUCUAUUUUCCUCGUCAUCUUGUUAUUUAUUCCAUAAACCUGGUUUCAGACUCAUCUUGCAUGCAGUGACCGACACACGCUAUUGUUGUUCUCACAGCAAGACGAUGAAGUGUCGAGUAAUAUUAUGAACAACUCUCGAUGCGUCUUAAAAUACAGUACUUGUACAACUAUCAGACUGUGUUGGCCAGUGCCUUCUUACAUUAGAGAGACAUGAAAGCCUUUGUUAUUCUGGUCUGUGCCUUUUCUGUUCUUUUUCCUUUGAGUCUGCUGGGGAUCAUCAUGCGAUCUAAAAACACAGCGACGUGAUUAUAGAGGCCAUUGUUCUUGCUGCUUUAUCUCUGUGAAAGUAAGUGUGACUAAUUUUGAGAGACAUGAAGAGUGUGUGUGUGUGUGUGUGUGUGUGUGUGUGUGUGUGUGUGUGUGUGUGUGUGUGUGUGUGUGUGUGUGUGUGCGUGCGGGCGGGCGUGUGUUUAUCUGACACCGAGAGCGACAGAGUUGAGAAAGCAGCAGGAGGCCUGGAAAAGAUGUUUAAAGGACAGUGUGAUUCUGAUGAAGCAAGACAAAAAGAGAGGGCAUAGGAGGCCGCCGUCAUCAUCACCUGGGCUUUUUUCUCCUCCCACGAGGCACCCAUCUAAACACGACUCAC